GUUGGCUCAGAAGCAGCCAUUCAUUCAAAGAGUGCGUAAUAGCUCACUGGUCGAGUGGUCAUGCGCCGAAGAUGUACCGGGGCUCAAACGCGCCACCGAAGCAUGGGAUUCGCGCAAGCGAGUGGUAGAGGAGCAUUGAAUCAGGGCAGAAGCUGGAGCGAGAGCACGAGUGGACUUGAUUCAAGAGAGAAUGCCGGUAUGAGUAGCGAGAGGCAAGCGAGAAACUUGCCCGUCGAAAGCCUAAGGUUUCCUGGGGAAGGUUCAUCCGCCCAGGGUAAGUCGGGACCUAAGCCGAGGACGGAAGUCGUAGGCGAUGGACAGCAGGUUGAGAUUCCUGCACCGCCUUGAGAAUGAUGCAAUGACACAGAAGGAUAGCAUGAGCCGGGUGAUGGUCAACUCGGUUUCCAAAGCGAGGGCGUCUGGUAGUGAAGUACGCCAGACACACAGCCUGAGCCAAAGAGGGAGCGAAAUUCAAGUAGCGAAGCAUGCGAUUUCACGCUGGCGAGAAAAGUUGCUGGUAUAUCGAAGAGGCGCCCGUACCGCAAACCGACGCAGGUAGGCGAGGUGAGAAUCCUAAGACGAACGGGAGAACCCUUGUUAAGGAACUCGGCAAAAUGACCCCGUAACUUCGGGAGAAGGGGUGCCUCGAAAGAGGCCGCAGAGAAUAGUCACAAGCGACUGUUUAGCAAAAACACAGGUAUCUGCGAAAGCGAGAGCUGACGUAUAGGUGCUGACACCUGCCCGGUGCUGGAAGGUUAAGGGGACAUGUUAGCGAAAGCGAAGCAUCGAACCGAAGCCCCAGUAAACGGCGGCCGUAACUAUAACGGUCCUAAGGUAGCGAAAUUCCUUGUCGGGUAAGUUCCGACCCGCACGAAUGGCGUAACGACUUGUGAGCUGUCUCAACAGGAGGCCCGGUGAAAUUGAAGUAUGUGUGAAGAUGCACAUUACCCGCGACUGGACGGAAAGACCCCGUAGAGCUUUACUGUAACCUGACAUUGGAUCUUGAUAACGGAUGCACAGGAUAGGUGGGACGCUGGGAGGUAUGGACUUUGGUCUGUACGGAGCGGACGUUGGGAUACCACUCUUCUGUUAUUGAGAUUCUAACCUCAAGCCGUAAGCCGGAUGAGAGACAGUGUCAGGCGGACAGUUUGACUGGGGCGGUCGCCUCCGAAAGAGUAACGGAGGCGCCCAAAGGUACCCUCAGAAUGGAUGGAAACCAUUCGAAGAGAGCAAAGUCAGAAGGGUGCUUGACUGCGAGACCAACAAGUCGAGCAGGUACGAAAGUAGGGCUUAGUGAUCCGGCGGUAAGAGAGUGGAAUUGCCGUCGCUCAACGGAUAAAAGCUACCUCGGGGAUAACAGGCUGAUCUCCCCCAAGAGUUCACAUCGACGGGGAGGUUUGGCA
rnacentral:rRNA from 1 species